AUUGAACGCUGGCGGCAUGCUUUACACAUGCAAGUCGAACGGUAACAGGCCUUCGGGUGCUGACGAGUGGCGAACGGGUGAGUAAUGGAUCGGAACGUGCCCAGAGGUGGGGGAUAACGCAGCGAAAGCUGUGCUAAUACCGCAUGUGAUCUGAGGAUGAAAGCGGGGGACCAGGCAGCAAUGUUUGGCCUCGCGCCUUUGGAGCGGCCGAUGUCAGAUUAGGUAGUUGGUGGGGUAAAGGCCUACCAAGCCGACGAUCUGUAGCUGGUCUGAGAGGACGACCAGCCACACUGGGACUGAGACACGGCCCAGACUCCUACGGGAGGCAGCAGUGGGGAAUUUUGGACAAUGGGCGCAAGCCUGAUCCAGCAAUGCCGCGUGCGGGAAGAAGGCCUUCGGGUUGUAAACCGCUUUUGUACGGAACGAAAAGGCUCUGGCUAAUACCUGGGGCUGAUGACGGUACCGUAAGAAUAAGCACCGGCUAACUACGUG
rnacentral:rRNA from 1 species